rnacentral:rRNA from 1 species
UACAGAGGUCUCAAGCGUUGUUCGGAUUUAUUGGGCGUAAAGAGCGUGUAGGCGGCUUUACAGGUCUGUUGUGAAAACUCGAGGCUCAACCUCGAGACGCCGGUGGAAACCGUAAAGCUAGAGUCCGGAAGAGGAGAGUGGAAUUCCUGGUGUAGCGGUGAAAUGCGCAGAUAUCAGGAGGAACACCCGUGGCGAAGGCGGGUCUCUGGGCCGAUACUGACGCUGAGGAGCGAAAGCGUGGGGAGCGAACAGG